rnacentral:rRNA from 1 species
GGAAAUUGGGGGCGGGCGGCUGCGGGAAGACGGAGGGGGCUAGGGUUGUUGGGGAUUAGUGGGGGUAAAGCGCACGUAGGGGGAUUGUUAAGGCGGGGGUGAAAUCCUGGAGCUCAACUCCAGAACUGCCUGCGAUACUGGCGAUCUCGAGUUCGGGAGAGGUGAGUGGAACUGCGAGUGUAGAGGUGAAAUUCGUAGAUAUUCGCAAGAACACCAGUGGCGAAGGCGGCUCACUGGCCCGAUACUGACGCUGAGGUGCGAAAGCGUGGGGAGCAAACAGGAUUAGAUACCCCGGUAGUC